GAUGAAGAACGCAGCGAAAUGCGAUACGUAAUGUGAAUUGCAUAAUUCAGUGAAUCAUCGAAUCUUUGAACGCAUAUUGCGCUCUCUGGUAUUCCGGAGAGCAUGCUUGUUUGAGUAUCAGUAAACACCUCAACUUCCAUAUCUUUUUUGAAAUGGGAGUUGGACUUGAGUGAUCCCAACGCUUUUCCUCACCGAAAAGUGGCGGGUUACUUGAAAUGCAGGUGCAGCUGGACUUUUCUCUGAGCUAUAAGCAUAUCUAUUUAGUCUGCCUAAAAAACAGAUUAUUACCUUUGCUGCAGCUAACAUAAAGGAGAUUAGUUCUUGUGCUGACUGAUGCAGGAUUCACAAAGACAGGCUUCGGCCGACUUUGUAAACUCGAUCUCAAAUCAAGUAAGACUACCCGCUGAACUUAAGCAUAUCAAUAAGCGGAGGA
rnacentral:misc_RNA from 1 species